UACGGGGGGGGCAAGCGUUGUUCGGAAUUACUGGGCGUAAAGGGCUCGUAGGCGGCCAACUAAGUCGGAUGUGAAAUCCCCAAGCUUAACUUGGGAACUGCAUCCGAUACUGGAUGGCUUGAAUCCGGGAGAGGGAUGCAGAAUUCCAGGUGUAGCGGUGAAAUGCGUAGAUAUCAGGAGGAACACCGAUGGCGAAGGCAGAUCUCUGGGCCGUAACUGACGCUGAGGAGCGAAAGCAUGGGGAGCGAACAGG
rnacentral:rRNA from 1 species